AUAAAUCAGAAUGUCCAAUAGGAUAAGGAUCAAAUAAAAUCCUAUAGGACAAAGUGAAAUUCCAUUAAAAUCAAUAGGAAUGUCCAAUAGGAUUCUAAGAAUCCAAUAAGAUCCUAUAGGACAAAGUGAAAUUCCAUUAAAUGUCCAAUAGGAUUCUAAGUAUCCAAUAAGAUCCUAAAGGAUAAACUGAAAUUCCAAUAGGAUUUUUUGACAAGGGCCUUGAUUAGCGUCAUUUUUCGACUUGCAGGGUCCUCCGUUGCUUUAAAUAGGAAACCCUUAGCAUCAAUAUGCUGACACCAUACUGGGAAUUUUAUCGUCAUAAUUAAAUUAUAUAUUGGGUGAUAACAUUGCAUAUAUGUUGGGGUGUGAUUUUUCAAUGUAAACAGCCACAACAGUUUUAUUUAUAUUACAUAAUUUACACAUUUAUGAGCACAUAACCCAACCCCUGCCCCUAAACCUACCAUUUGUCAAUAAAACACAAGAUAUAACAGGCAGAUACAACUACCGUCAUAAUUUAUUACAAAAAUAUUAAUAUUCCAAGUCUUCCGAGGCAAAACAUUUGAUUUGUGAGAGGAAUAGACGCGAUCGCCGUCUCUGUCCACCGUUAAACUCAUCCUAUGCUGCAGUCUCUGUGCGCGAAUUCAAAAAAUGCCGCCAGAAGAAGAAUUACGUCAGCCUUGGUUGUGAAAUGCUAUUGGCUCUUGUGUGUCUCGUGACCAAUUGCGUCAUGCUGCGGGACUGUAUUAUGCUUUUGAAUGAGAUGUGAGCGCGUUAACAGAGCGGGAUCAUUUUCAGCGAUUACAACCUUAUGUUUUGCUCUCUUCUUCUCAUAAACACUUUGUAUGGCUUCAGAAGACUUGGAAUGCAACACGACUUGUUUGUAAUGCUUUUAUACUGCUUGUUUAUAUGAUGAAUGGAGAAAUCUGAGACUUAUUUAGUGGGUUGAUUCAUACCUGAGUGGGAGCGACUACCCUGCAACUUGGAACAGGCACAAAGUACCCAUUCACUACAGAGGAUCUAUUGGAGAGCAGGUAUGUAAUGCUAAAUUUCUCCAAAUCUGUUCCAAUGAAGAAACAAACCCAUCUACAUCUUGGAUGGCCUGAGGGAGAUACUGGUGAGAUUAAAAGCAAUUGAAGAAAGCAUCAUGCCAUCCCACCUGAUGUGCUACAGAUUCUUCUGAUCUUUGCUGCCAGUUCUGUGAUCAUUUAGCCAAUAAAAUGUUUUUCUGUUUCUGCCAAUUUAAUUCAAUUUGCUGAGAGGCUACUAAUUCUGUAUUGUUUAAUAAUGCCAAAUGGUAGAACCUCUUUGUUCUAUGAAUUUCCUUAGAUUCUGGUUCACUUUUAUAUCUUUUUGAAAUAGAGUUGGAAGAAAAUCUAACUGUUUUGCAGGCUUACAUUGGUUUUAUAUGAUUGUCAAAGCAAACUACCAUCUUUUCAGCAACAUAGAGAGGCAAUAUUUUGACUCGCAGUAGGUCUGUAGAGAGCUUGAGAGGAAGAGAAUUUGGGAGGUAGAAUUUUUGAAAAGCAUCACUUGAAACAGAGGCAGGUCUGCAUGGAAACCAGAAUAGAUUACGCUGUGAUGGAGUUACAUGGGCAUGUGUGUGUGCAAUAGAGAGAGAGAGAGAUGUGUGUGUGUGGGGAAGAGGAGGAAGGAUGCUGUAUUCUAGUUGCUUUUAAAGUGUCUAUGAAAUGGGGCCAGCUUCAUUCUGCAAGAGAAGAGCUGAAUUUUCUGAGGAAAUAUACACAGGCUUUAGAGACAAACACAGAUGCUCACAGAAAUUUUGACGCACACUUUUGAGUUGUAACCCAAACAGCCUUUCAUCAUUCCCCUCUAUGACGAUACUUUGUAUCACCUGAGAGAUGUCUGUGGUGAGGCCACAACAACUGUGCUUGGUGUGUGUUGCUGACUGUUUGAUCGCAGUCCCAAAAGGCACACGGUUUCAUUCAAAGAGACACUCGUUUGCCUUUUUCCUCAAGCCUAAAUAAUUCAAAAAGGCUAUUGUUUCCUGUGAAAGCACAUUGUUUAAGUGAACUCAAACUGUGCUUGAUGAUAAAUUAUAUAGUUUUAUAAUUUCAACAUGGUCAGAGGUUGAUUUGUGGAGGCCAGACUAGUGAUGGACAUUGAGUUUUGGUUGAGACAGAAGCUCCUUCUGAGCAGCUAUGAGAUGGAAGACCUGGCUGUGUAACUUUUCACACUCUGGAGAUGUCAUCUCGGCAUUGCCACAGGCUUGACUUCUCUCUUCUACCUGCUCAUCUUUGAUGUCAUUCAUGCCAAAAAGAGAAAUGACAUCUCAUAUCGCAUUAUGAUCUCUCUAAUUAAAAGUCUGUCCUGCCAUCUCAUUAGUGAUGCUCUCAUGUAUGUGAGUAAUAAUUCUUUUGUCUCAAAGUAUAUGUUUGUGUAAAUGAUGCAAAACACAGCAUUACAACACAAGAUAACUGUAACUUGGGUGGACCACAUACAGUACAGUAGAUAUAAUUAAAAGUAUUUAGAUUGCUCCAAACUUGUCACUGGUCUAAUUUAUUUAUGGUUAUGCAAGGUCAAUAACCAAGGUACCUGAUAAAGUCCUUAAUGGCGGGUUAAUGACUUAGCUUAA